rnacentral:rRNA from 1 species
UACGUAGGGUGCGAGCGUUGUCCGGAAUUAUUGGGCGUAAAGAGCUCGUAGGCGGUUUGUCGCGUCGGCUGUGAAAACCCGGAGCUCAACUCCGGGCCUGCAGUCGAUACGGGCGGACUCGAGUUCGGCAGGGGAGACUGGAAUUCCUGGUGUAGCGGUGAAAUGCGCAGAUAUCAGGAGGAACACCGGUGGCGAAGGCGGGUCUCUGGGCCGAUACUGACGCUGAGGAGCGAAAGCGUGGGGAGCGAACAGG